rnacentral:rRNA from 1 species
AGUGAACGCUGGCGGUAGGCCUAACACAUGCAAGUCGAACGGCAGCACAGUAAGAGUUUGCUCUUACGGGUGGCGAGUGGCGGACGGGUGAGGAAUACAUCGGAAUCUACUUUUUCGUGGGGGAUAACGUAGGGAAACUUACGCUAAUACCGCAUACGACCUACGGGUGAAAGCAGGGGAUCUUCGGACCUUGCGCGAUUGAAUGAGCCGAUGUCGGAUUAGCUAGUUGGCGGGGUAAAGGCCCACCAAGGCGACGAUCCGUAGCUGGUCUGAGAGGAUGAUCAGCCACACUGGAACUGAGACACGGUCCAGACUCCUACGGGAGGCAGCAGUGGGGAAUAUUGGACAAUGGGCGCAAGCCUGAUCCAGCCAUACCGCGUGGGUGAAGAAGGCCUUCGGGUUGUAAAGCCCUUUUGUUGGGAAAGAAAAGUAGCAGGUUAAUACCCCGCUGUUCUGACGGUACCCAAAGAAUAAGCACCGGCUAACUUCGUG